rnacentral:rRNA from 1 species
AUUGAACGCUGGCGGCAGGCUUAACACAUGCAAGUCGAACGAGUGGCGGACGGGUGAGUAAUGCUUGGGAAUCUAGCUUAUGGAGGGGGAUAACUACGGGAAACUGUAGCUAAUACCGCGUACCAUAGGAUGAGCCCAAGUGGGAUUAGGUAGUUGGAGGGGUAAAGGCUCACCUAGGCGACGAUCUCUAGCUGGUCUGUGAGGAUGAUCAGCCACACGGGGGCUGAGACACGGACCAGACUCCUACGGGAGGCAGCAGUGGUGAAUGUUACACAAUGGGCGCGAGCCUGGUGCAGCCAUGCCGCGUGUAUGAAGAAGGCCUUAGGGUUGUAAAGUACUUUCAGCGAGGAAGCGUUACCCGCAGAAGAAGCACCGGCUGACUCCGUGCCAGCAGCCGCGGUAAUAC